GACGAACGCUGGCGGCGUGCUUAACACAUGCAAGUCGAACGAAGUGGCGAACGGGUGAGUAAUACGUGGGUAACCUGCCCUCCUUUUUGGGAUAAGCCUUGGAAACGGGGUCUAAUACCGAAUAAAGGGGGAUGGGCUCGCGGCCUAUCAGCUUGUUGGUGGGGUGAUGGCCUACCAAGGCGGUGACGGGUAGCCGGACUGAGAGGGUGAGCGGCCACAUUGGGAAUGAGACACGGGCCAGACUCCUACGGGAGGGAGCAAUGGGGAAUAUUGCACAGUAGGAGGAAGCCUGAUGCAGCCAAGACGAAUGUAUUAAAGAGGCCUUAGGGUUGUAAAGUACUUUCAGCGGGGAGACGUUACCCGCAGAAGAAGCACCGGCUAACUCCGUGCCAGCCGCCGCGGUAAUAC
rnacentral:rRNA from 1 species